CGUCCGGCCGCUGCGGGCCGUCCCUGGGAGAACAGACGGGCCUCACUCCUGCAGGCCGUCCCGUGGGCCCGACGUCACGGUACUCGUAGCGAAGCGUUGAGAACACGGAGGGUCUCCGUCAGUGCUCGCUCUCAGGUGACGAGCCUGGAUCGGAUACCCCAGGACCCCAGGCAGCUCCGAGCCAUCCGAGAACGGUUCAUCACACGGCGUGUCCCCCAGACAGCCUGAUGGUACCUGGUCCCUGGCGCUCGGUCCGGGUCUGACCCAUGAGCCCUCGCGUUCAUGCGGCUCCGGGAGGAGCUGGUACAGCGCCCAGAGACCUCUGGGUGCGAGCCUUGGUCAAGCUGCCCGUGGGGGUGGUCUCCCCACCUCCUCUGAGACGGCCCGGACGGCACCUCCUGUCGGCGGACUCUGGGUGGCAGGUGACCCGGCAUGUGUUCCUGAACCUCGACAACAGUCUGAGGUGGAAGACGCUGUUGGUGGGGCGCACCUUCUCCAGCGCAGGUCAGCUGCGCGGCCUCUCCUCCCCGUUUUCCGGACCGCUCACGGAGUCCGAGGUAACAGGCUGGGCUCCGGCUGUGUGCCGUGCACGCUGCCUUCGAGCGCAGGUAACACAAUCACGGCUUCGCUGGGGUAACCUUGCUAUGAUACUCACCUGUCAGAGAAGCGAUGGAUGAGCUUCAGGUACAGCUGGUUCUAGGUGUUCACUGGCCACUCAGGCAUCAUUAAGAACCCAAAUCGCCUCCAGGAGUUUGGGCUAUCCCUCUGCUACUUGCACUCGGUAGGUCUUUGCACAACAGGGUGUGACGCUCAGAUCCCGUCUGUACUUCCGGUGCCGGGCAGGGGGAGUGUGGGGGUGUUACCCUGCGCACAGGACGGGCGGGCAGGCAGGCACGCGGCCAGCAGUCCUGGCACCGCCUUGGCCUUGUUCUUCUCCAGGAGGUGAGCGUAGCCGUUGAUUCCCUCUCUCCGCAACGGCAGUAAGGGAAGCAUGCAGGGGCUGGCUGGGGAGGGGAGGAGCCUCUGUAACACGCACAGCGGCUGCAGACAGGAGCCCGGGCCGGGCUUGUGAAGCGGAAGAAGCUGGAGAUUUCCACCUUACACGCCAGACAGCCUCAGGCCACGGUUUCUGAAAGGGCUUGGGCGCUGAUCGGUAGCUGUGGCUGAAAAGGGUCCUGGAGGGAGACAAGACCGCUCCUCUGUGCUCAGAUACCCCGGUGUCCCACCACCCCAGUCAGCAAUGGGAAAAUGACCAAAUUGGAGGGAAAGACCCAGACCUGGUGUUACCGGGAAGGAAAAACCGCAGCCCUGGGACCCCGAGAAGCUGGAGGUCUGGGAGGGAAGCUGAGGCCCAGCCGUGAGCAGGAGAACACGCAGGUCGACCUGCUGUUGCCACGAAGGACACCCCUGCCGUGAGUUCAGCUGCUAGGCCCAGCGUGUCGGGGCCGUGACGCUGCUCGGGCUUCUGCAGCCUCAAGGUGCUCGACUCUGCCAGGUGGUGGUUUCCUCUGGACGCCGGGAAUUGACUUGGCCGGGAGCACACGUCCACGUGGGGACGUGCCCUGUGGGACAGCUGGGCAGGAACACGGCUCGGGGUGCCCUCGAUGGCCUGCCCUGACCAUCUGGCCUUCGGUGUUCUGGUUUCAUAACGUGUCUGUGCCCUAAAUGAACCAAACUACUUUUUAAACAGACUCUAGUCCUCCUGCCCCCGGGAGCCUGGGUGGGGGAGCUGUGGGGCUCAGGGCCUCCCCCACUGCGUCAGAGGGGCGGUGGGUGCGACGGCCGACUGCCGUCUGCUCACGGGACAGAGUUGCCUGUGCGUCGCCUUCCGAAGCCGCAGGAGACUCGGCACGUCCGGUCAGAGCUCUGCGGUCCGGAGAAGGGCCGCAGGGAGCUGUGUGCCGGCGAAUGGGAAUCGAGCUCUCGGUCCACAAGAAACCUUUGCACAAGGAGGUAAUAAAUGUUUGGCCGUUUAUUUACAAA